AGCCCAACUUCUCUCUCUGUCCAAAUCCUUUCCAUGUGCUGAUACCAAGAACCUUCCCUAAUAAACAUUUCCACAGAUGAAUCUCUAUUUCAGAGUCAGCUUUCCAGGGGACCUAAUCUGUGACAAGAUGUGACUAUAACUGCUCUCUGUAAGAUUAGAGAUGUGAUAAAUAAAUGAUAAUGCAUUUUAUACCACUUUACUUUCAAGAAAAAUAUAGUGUGUAAAAUUAGAUGUUAUUAAUUUAUCCAUAAUAUAUUACUAUAAAUUAUAGUGUAAGGGAAUAAAUAUGUGGGUAAAUACCAUGUACACAAAGUGCAAAUUAUGAUGGUAAGGAAUAAAGAAAAUUAUUUGUUUGUAUUAGUGCCUCAAGAUAAUGCUCCAUUACUUUCCCAUGCCAAAGUUAUUUAAACCAUGCUUACUGGGAAAACAUUUAAAAUCACUCAUUCAAAAGAUUAGUACUGAGAGCUUAUUUUAUGCCAGGCAUUACCCUAGCCUACUGUCCUCAUGAAAUAUAUGUUCUAAUAUGGGAUUAAAGUAGGAGAACCAUAAUCCUGCUACUUGUCUGGUUUACAUUUGUUAUUUUGGCAUCCCAUAUAGUUUAGAAUUUUUUCUUAGUUUUUCAUAUUUUAAGGAAAUAUUUUUACUAAGAGUUUCCAUAAAAUACACGGGGAUGGUUUUGUUAGAAUUCUACUUUUUACUUUCCUCAUGAUCUCAAUUAGUAGUGUGUUAGACGUGAAGUGAACAGAAUUUUCAAAUUAACGUGUGACUAAAUCUCAAAAAUAGUUAGAAGGAACUAUUUACCUUUCUCUCAUCAUUUUCUUAGGCAUUGUAACUAAUUUUCCCCUUUCAAUAAGAGUUUUCAUCAUGUUUUCUGAUGAAAAAAUCUAAGGUGGUAUAUCCAGACAAUAAAAUAUUCAUCAACAAUUAAAAGGCGUAAAGCACAGAUUCAUCAUAGAUAAAACUUGAAGUCUGGGGAGUUACCAUCGUGGCGCAGUGGUUAACAAAUCUGACUAGGAACCAUGAGGUUGAGGGUUUGAGCCUGGUGUAGCUCAGUGGGUUAAGGAUCCAGCAUUGCCGUGAGCUGUGGUGUAGGUCCCAGACAUGGCUCGGAUCCCAAGUUGCUGUGGCUGUGGCAUAGGCUGGCAGCUGAAACUCUGAUUCAGACCCCUAGCCUGGGAACAACUGACAUGAAUGUUUUAGAGGCAGCCAACUUCUUAUGGAUCCUGGUGUUGGUAGGAGAAAUACAGGGGGCUGUUUCUCCUUGGUCAUUUAGUAUGCUAUCCAGUAUACCAUGACUGUGUGGAAAUAACUGGACAAGGUCAGGGGGAAAAAUGCAAAACUAUAACUUAGCUGUGUAUAACUGAGUAGGCCUACCAUGGAAUAUACAGAGGUUGUCUUCAAAAUACUUUAAAAAUUUACUGUAUUAUUUAAUUCAACAAUUAUUUACUCCUUCAGCCUCAGUAAGUUUUCUUUUUUCUUUUUUUUUAAGAAGUGCAUGUUUAAUUAAAAUGUAAGAACUGUAUUUCCAUUUCUCAAGAAAGAUGAUAAUGGUGGCAUUCCCACUGUGGUCCAAUGGGCUAAGAAUCUGACUGCAGUGGCUCAGGUCACUGCGGGGGUGUGGGCUCAAUCCCUGGUCUGCUGCAGUGGGUUAAAGGAUACAGAGUUGCUGCAGCUGUUUAGGUCACAGCUACCACUUGGAUUCAGCCCCUGGCCAGGGAACUUCCAUAUGCUGUGGGUAUGGCCAUUAAAAAAAAAAAGAAAGUUGAUACUGAAUGUAUAAAUUGUACAAAGUAUUUGUUGCCAUUUACUACCACUACUACUACAUUUGUAUCUGUAGUGAUGUAAUUGACUACAUGACAACUAGAUGAUGCAUAUCAGCUGAAGUAUCACUAGCAUCUAUUUCAAAUAUUAGCAUUUUUUUUUUUUUCUUUUUUGGCAGGACCUGCAGCAUGUAGAAGUUCUCAGGCUAGGGAUCAAAUCUAUACCACAACAGCAACCUGAGCUGCAGUGACAAUACCAGAUGCUUAACCCAAUGGGCCACAAGAUAAUUCCACAAAUAUUAGCAGUUAUUUUUAAAAGAGUGUUCAAAGAUGAUGAUUUAACAAAUGCAACUUCAGAAGAUAAGCUUACAUAUCUUUUUUGGUAGCUUAUUUCGCUUAGGUUAAAUGAUUGCUCUUCUAAAAUAAUUUCACUAAUUAUUAAAUUCAAGGAUUCUUUUGCAUGUAUAAGACAUGAAACAAUAGCUAUUUACAUGUCAGUUCCAUUAGCAGAUGCACUAGCAAUUACCUAAUGCCAUUGUCAUUGGAUGAUUCAAAUAGUAAAUCAGUUAACUCCAAUAAUGGGUUGGAUUUUCACCUAAGUCAUGGACUCAGAGAAAAACUUUGCAAAAUUUAUUUUUUGAACAUCUAUCCUUAUUGUGAAUAAUAUUGUAAAUUAGAUUAAAAGUUCAAUAUUGAAGAUUUUUUUCUGUAAUAGUAUGAAUACAAAAUUUGGCAAAACAAAGUGUGCAUGGCAAAAACAAUGAUAUUAUUAAGAAAUUUUUGAGUAGAAAUGUACUUGGAGUUGGUUGUGUCACACAUAUUAUUAAUAAUUAAUGUCCUGCCUAUUAAAAUAGAAACUAUAGUUGUCAGAGUAAUUAACCAUGGCAUUUUUUUCUGAUGAGACUGAUUUUCAAAACAAAUAUAUUCUUUUUUUUUUUUUUGUCUAUUUAGGGCCACACCCAUGGCAUAUGGAGGUUCCCAGGCUAGGGGUUGAAUCGGAGCUAUAGCUGCAGGCCUAUGCCAGACCUACAGCAAAUAUAUUCUUAAUCAUGGAGGCUACAUAGUUGAUCUCUCCGUUGGCCACUGUAAAUUAGAUUUAGACCUGUUUGAGCAUUUUAAGAAUGACUAUAUAACUCAACCUAAAAGUAUUUAACAAUUAUGAUGCUAAAAACUUAAACUUGUGAAGUUUUACUGAUUUGCAAGUCUUAAAAUCAAAACCUGCAAUGAAAUUUGAUCCCUCUAGAAGUAAAGUAAGAAAUGAACCAAUUAAACAAUGGUUUGAUUAUGUUUAAUCAAAAAAUAUUUAAUUUUGAUAUUCUAUUAUUGGACAUCAGAAUAGUUCAACUUGGAGUUCCUGUUGUGGCUCAGUGGAAAUGAAUUUGACUAGUAUCCAUGAGGAUGCAGGUUUUAUUCCUGGCCUCACUCAGUGGGUUAAGGAUCCACCAUUGCUGUGAGCUAUGGUGUAGGUAGCAGAUGCUGCUUGGGUCUGGCAUUGUUAUGGUUGUGGCAUAUGCUGGCAGCUACAGCUCCAAUUUGACCCCUAGCCUGGGAACCUCCNNNNNNNNNNNNNAAAAAAAAAAAAAAAAAAAAAAAAGGAAAAAGGAAAAAAAAGGGGAUAUUUCAACUUGUAGGAUGUAUCUUUUUUUUUAAUGAAGUAUCUCAACAAAAUUCCCUUUUUUUUUUUUUGGCCAUACCCAUGACAUAUGGAAGUUCUUGGGCCAGGGAUAGCACCUGAGCUGCAGCUGUGACCUAUGUUCCAGCUUUGGCAAUGCCAGAUCCUUAACCCACUGUGCCACAAUAGGAACGCCAAUGAAAUUCCUAUUUUUAAUCAGAUAAAUUUACAUACAUAAAAUUAAGAAUGAAUUUUACAUAAUCUGAAUAAUUAUAAACUGAGACACAUUCUGUGAUGACUUUUGUCUAAUAAAAGCAUCUGUUGAAGAAAAGUACUCUAAAUAAAAGUAAAAAGAUAGGACUUUUAAAACAUUUGGACUAAAAUAUUAAACAUUUCAACGUCAAAGGAAGCAUUUAAAUUGAGAAUAUGCAAACAUUUCUUAAGACUGCCAGGCUCUUUGGUAAGGGGAGAGUAUUUUCUCAACAAAAAAUAUCAUGUUUUAUAGAGUCAGGUCAGUUAAAAACUUCGACAAUUUCAAAUUUGUUAACAUAAAAUACAGUUUUGAAGACUGCAGGCAACUUUAUGAAAAAAACUGAAAACAACACAACUAUAUUUCAAAAAUACAUUCUCCACAAGUAAAACAACAUGACGUAGCGUGACAUAUACAACUAAGAAGCUGUUUGGAAUACAUGAACAUAUAACAAGAAUAAUCAUUCUACAUUUGAGUGUUAAGAUAAUUAAUACAGUUUUUUUUGCUUUAAUGAAUAUAAAUAUGUUGUUUUUUAAUUUAUUUUUAAUUUUUAUUUAUUUAUUUUUUUUAGGGGCACACCCUGGCAGCACAUGGAGGUUUCCAGGCUAGAGGUAGAAUCGGAGCUGUAGCUGCUGGCCUACACCACAGCCACAGCAAUACACAGCUCAGAUCCUGCAUUACUGUGGCUGUGGCAUAGGCUGGCAGCUGUAGCUCUAAUUGGACCCCUAGCCUGGGAAAUUCCGUUUGCCACAAUUGUGGCCCUAAAAAAAAAAAAAAAGAAUCUUGGAUAAAUUCAUGUAGGUCUGAUUAUUCUUAAUUCAACUAUAAAAAGAUCCAUUUAUACAAGUGAAAAUGAACCAAGUUCUGUCUAGUCAAGUGACAAACUUGAGUUAGGGAAAUAUGCUGUUCAAAGUAAAAGGUAUCAGAAAACAAAAUUGCUGAGCACGGUUGUGGUUGUGUUAGCAGAAAAUAGACUAGCAAUGAAAAUCAGCCUUACAAAAUUUUAUAUGUGACAGAGAAGUAUUAGAUUAUAUUCUCAAACACUUCUCUAAAUCAAAAAGAGUCUUGCCGUUCCUACUGUGGCACAGUGGGUUGGGAAACUGACCUAGUAUCUGUGAGGAUGCAGAUUUGAUCCCUGGCUUCUUGCUCAGUGGGUUAAGCUGUGGUGCAGGCUGUAGCUGCAGCUCCAAUUUCCCCCUAGCCCAGAAACUUCGAUAUGCUGCAGGCCAUAAAAAAAAAAAAAAAAAAAA
rnacentral:lncRNA from 1 species